CGAGUUCCCGUACGAUCACCGAAGUUAAGCAACGUCGAGCCUGGUCAGUAACUAGAUGGGUGACCUCUUUGGAAUGCUUAG